AACCCUGCAGACCCAGUAUCGUAGCCAAUGAGGUUAAUCCAAGGCACAAUUAUUGCUAAUUGAAAACUUUUCCUUCUCACUUCGUCUUCUUAGCAAUAGGCCCUUUGUGGCAGAAACUGUGCCUUCAUGUAUGUUUGUGCAGUAACUUGC
ensembl:snRNA U4 U4 spliceosomal RNA